UACGUAGGGUGCGAGCGUUAAUCGGAAUUACUGGGCGUAAAGUGUGCGCAGGCGGUUUUGUAAGUCAGAUGUGAAAUCCCCGGGCUUAACCUGGGAACUGCGUUUGAAACUACAAGGCUAGAGUGUGACAGAGGGGGGUGGAAUUCCACGUGUAGCAGUGAAAUGCGUAGAGAUGUGGAGGAACACCGAUGGCGAAGGCAGCCCCCUGGGUUAACACUGACGCUCAGGCACGAAAGCGUGGGGAGCAAACAGG
rnacentral:rRNA from 1 species